rfam:Hordeum vulgare subsp. vulgare, WGS project CAJW01000000 data, contig: morex_contig_2213435
UGCAUACUCCCUCCAUCCGGAAAUACUUGUCUUAAAAAUGGAUAUAUUUGAUAUAUCCAUAAUUAAAAUAAGUCUAGAUUCAUCCAUUCCUAGGACAAGUAUUUCCGAACGGAGGGAGUGCUUG